UGGGGGAUCGUCUAACGGUAGGACAGCGGACUCUGACUCCGCGAGUCUAGGUUCGAAUCCUAGUCCCCCAGCCA
rnacentral:tRNA from 2 species